CCUACGGGUGGCAGCAGUGAGGAAUAUUGGUCAAUGGACGAGAGUCUGAACCAGCCAAGUAGCGUGAAGGAUGACUGCCCUAUGGGUUGUAAACUUCUUUUAUAUGGGAAUAAAACGUUCCACGUGUGGGAUUUUGUAUGUACCAUAUGAAUAAGGAUCAGCUAAAUCCGUGCCAGCGGCCGCGGUAAUACGGAGGAUCCGAGAGUUAGCCGGAUUUAUUGGGUUUAAAGGGAGCGUAGGUGGAUUGUUAAGUCAGUUGUGAAAGUUUGCGGCUUAACCGUAAAAUUGCAUUUGAAACUGGCAGUCUUGAGUACAGUAGAGGUGGGCGGAAUUCGUGGUGUAGCGGUGAAAUGCUUAGAUAUCACGAAGAACUCCGAUUGCGAAGGCAGUUCACUGGACUGCAACUGACACUGAGGCUCGAAAGUGUGGGUAUCAAACAGGGUUAGAUACCCCGGUAGUA
rnacentral:rRNA from 1 species